rnacentral:miRNA from 1 species
GUGUGUGUGUGUGUGUGUGUUUAUAAUGCAGUGUGUGUGUGUGUAUAUAAUGCACACACUCUGCAUUAUAUACACACACACUCAUACAAACACACACUCUGCAUUAUAUACACACACACUCUG